AUGGUUUCGGCUAUCGCUUACAGAUGGGCCCGCGGUGCAUUAGCUAGUUGGUAGGGUAAUGGCCUACCAAGGCAACGAUGCAUAGCCGACCUGAGAGGGUGAUCGGCCACACUGGGACUGAGACACGGCCCAGACUCCUACGGGAGGCAGCAGUAGGGAAUCUUCCGCAAUGGACGAAAGUCUGACGGAGCAACGCCGCGUGUAUGAAGAAGGUUUUCGGAUCGUAAAGUACUGUUGUUAGAGAAGAACAAGGAUAAGAGUAACUGCUUGUCCCUUGACGGUAUCUAACCAGAAAGCCACGGCUAACUACGUGCCAGCAGCCGCGGUAAUACGUAGGUGGCAAGCGUUGUCCGGAUUUAUUGGGCGUAAAGCGCGCGCAGGCGGUCUUUUAAGUCUGAUGUGAAAGCCCCCGGCUUAACCGGGGAGG
rnacentral:rRNA from 1 species